rnacentral:rRNA from 1 species
UAAUAGCGUAUAUUAAAGUUGUUGCGGUUAAAAAGCUCGUAGUUGAAUCUCGGCGAGUAUUCACAUAACCAGUCACCGGUCCGCCCACUGGGUGUGUGCCGGUCUGGGCUCGCUUCUGCGUCGUGAGGCGCAGGUACGCCAGCUGCUCGGCGUUCCCUUCACUGGGAGCGUGUCUUUGGGCUCUGGCUCUUUUACUUUGAGUAAAUUAGAGUGUUCAAAGCAGGCAAAAUCUUCAGCCACUGAAUACAUUAGCAUGGGAUAAUGGAAUAGGACUUUGGUUCUAUUUUGUUGGUUUCUAGGACCGAAGUAAUGAUUAACAGGGACAGUUGGGGGCAUUCGUAUUUAAUUGCUAGAGGUGAAAUUCUUGGAUUUGUUAAAGACGAACUACUGCGAAAGCAUUUGCCAAGGAUGUUUUCAUUAA